UACGGAGGGUGCAAGCGUUAUCCGGAUUUACUGGGUUUAAAGGGUGCGUAGGCGGGCCCUUAAGUCAGUGGUGAAAGCUCCGAGCUUAACUCGGAAACUGCCAUUGAUACUAUAGGUCUUGAAUUCGGAUCGAGGUUGGCGGAAUGUGUCGUGUAGCGGUGAAAUGCUUAGAUAUGACACAGAACACCGAUUGCGAAGGCAGCUAGCUAGACCGACAUUGACGCUGAGGCACGAAAAGCGUGGGGGGAUCAAAACAGG
rnacentral:rRNA from 1 species